CCCUUAGAUGUUCUGGGCCGCACGCGUGCUACACUGAGUGGAUCAGCGGGUCAGGUUGCGCGAAAGUGUUUCCUAAUCUUUAAAUCCGCUCGUGAUGGGGAUUGACGGUUGCAAUUUUCCGUCAUGAACGAGGAAUACCUUGUAAGCGCGGGUCAUCAUCCCGCGCUGAAUACGUCCCUGCCCUUUGUACACACUGCCCGUCGCUCCUACCGAUUGAGUGGUCCGGUGAGGCUUUGGGAUCUGAGCGGAAAGAGCGUUUCGCUGUUUCUGCCCGGAAAACUCAGUCGAACCUUAUCAUUUAGAGGAAGGAGAAGUCGUAACA
rnacentral:rRNA from 1 species